rnacentral:rRNA from 1 species
AGACUGAACGCUGGCGGCAUGCCUAACACAUGCAAGUCGAACGGCAGCACAGCCCCGCAAGGGGUGGGUGGCGAGUGGCGGACGGGUGAGGAAUACAUCGGAAUCUGCCCUGUUGUGGGGGAUAACCCAUCGAAAGGUGGGCUAAUACCGCAUGAGACGGUGACGUGAAAGCGGGGGACCUGUGAGGGCCUCGCGCGGACGGGAUGAGCCGAUGUCGGAUUAGCUAGUUGGUAGGGUAAAGGCCUACCAAGGCUACGAUCCGUAGCUGGUCUGAGAGGAUGAUCAGCCACACUGGGACUGAGACACGGCCCAGACUCCUACGGGAGCAGCAGGUGGGGGAAUAGUUGGGAACAAGUGGGGCGCAAAGCCUAGAUCCAGCAAUGGCCGCGGUGUGUAGAAGAAGGCCUUGGGUUGUAAGACUACUUUUAGUCGG